rnacentral:lncRNA from 1 species
GUUGAGUAAAGAUGGAGAGGACACUGUGGUGCUGCUUUACUGUUGCCUUCUAUGUCAUCUGGAGCCGUGGCAUAAAUGUUAGUAAGGUUAAGCUUCAGUCUGUCAGGGCACUCUUUAUUUACAGUCAGGCUGGGUGAUAUCACUAGAUCUAGCAUUUCCUUAUACCUGCUUGCUGGGGAAGCAGCCUGGCCACGGUGGCAUCGAGGUGUUUUGCUUCUGUGCCCUACUCUUUCUCUUUCCUCCCCC